rnacentral:rRNA from 1 species
AUGCCAAUGGGGGAGAAGUUUCAGAGAGUUUUGUGGAGAAGUUUAGAGAGUUGUCUCUUCUGGCUUUGGUUUGUUCCUAAGCAUACGCAUCUCCUUCGCAUGCAUUAUUGGUUGUUGCAUUGCACGGUGAUGCAUAAUUCCUUAUAUAAACUCUCUUGA